ACACAGACCAACCGCCCAGACAGGCCUCAGACAAGUCAGGAUGAGGCUGGGAUUGCAGGUUCUGCUUCUGGAAGCUGACCUCCUGUAAGGCGGCCAUCACAGGGCUUGGGCCACUUACCCAGGAGGCCAACUAAGACACGGCGUCUUGGCUCGGAUUCAGCACCUCCAUCAUCCCCACCCAGGCGAAGACUUUCGGCAGUGUCACCCCAGCCACCACUGGCACUAUUGGCGAGUUCGCAGAGUGAUGAGCCCAGAUCACCUCAGUUAUCUGAGCACAACUUGAUGUCCGCCGUGGACCAGCAGGGCCCAGACCAACAGCCAUCCAUCACACUGCAACUUACAGCUGUUGACCCAAGCCUGCCAAUACAGUUGCAGGAUAUACCCCAAGCAUCCAUCAGUCCCCAACUGGCACAAGCUCCGCCCCCAAGCCAAAUUCCAGACGAAUUUUGGGCCAGUUGGACAAGCCAACAGGCCCAAAGCAAUGCCAGCCUGACCCAACAUACACAACACCUUGCCAGUCUGCCCCAUCAUCUACCGCGUAUUAGUCGCAACUCGGGCAGACUGAUAGUACAAGUAGGGCGAAUGGCUACCUCAAUGGAGCAAAUUAGGGCUGAAAACAGCCAAAUGAAUGCACAUUUAUCCCGCAUUAUAGAUGAGCAACAGCGCCAUCAGCAGGCACUCGUUCAGCUCAUUCAACACAAUCAAGUGGUGAAUGAGUCCUUAUC